CUGUUCUCAUGUCAUUAUUUUUCAGGUGUCAGAAGAGCGACUGAUGACUCUGUGGAUCCGUCAUCCAGAGCUGGGACCAACUCAUUGUUUUGCGAGUCACAAGUAAAUCUUGAGUCUCUGCAUUCAAGUCCCGAGUCAAGACAGACAAGUCCAAGUCAAGUAGAGCAGACAGAUGAUGUGACUUAUACUGAAGUUACUGCGUUCAGUAAAAACAGAGCCAAAAAGAACAAGGUUCACUGUGAUGAUAAAGUGACUUACGCUUCCAUCGGAGGAGCAAAAGCUGGAGCUCAGGAAGACUGCAGUCAACUUUACUAUCUUAGAUCAUUCUCAUUAGAUCAUUGAGUGUUUAAUUAACUGUCAGCUUGCACUAAUUAUGAGAACAGGCAAAGCUUCUGUGUAUGAUGAUGUAAGUGUUCAUCACAAUAUGACAGGAAUGAUCAUUUGGUGUUUGAACCAUUUGAACAGCUGCUAUCAGCAAUGCUUGUAAAAUUAUAUUUUAUCUGUCAGUAAUAAAAUAGCCUGUGUCAAACCUGUAUAUUUAUGGUAAAUAUUUUUCAUUACAAAUAUUUUUUUAUAUUCGUGACACAGAAGUCUCUGACUGUAUGGGCUCAAACAUUUACAGAGACACAUGUGUGCAGAAUGUUGCUGUGAACCGCAAUCAUCAUCGGUUUUCAUGAGGAAUAUGAUUCUGUGUCAGUAGUUUUUUAAUGCUCAAGCUACUGCAUCAGCAGGCUCUUUUAAAAUAUUUCUGUGCUUGUACUUGUGCUUGUGUGGAUUUGUGACUGAUGCAGAGGUGCUCAGAAAUGCUUUAUUUAACAGAGCUGUAGAGGAACUGAGAGACCGCGGUCAGUUUAGCAGAAACAGCGAUAAUGAUUAGGGACAGGAAUCAUAACUUCUUUAAUGGUUCCAUUACUGAUUAUUUGUAGUUCAGUUUAAUUUAAUUUUAAGGAAGUAUUUAAUUAAAUUUCAUUGCCAAAUAAUGAACAUUUUGAUGAUAAAUAAAUUUUUCAUUACAAUUUUUUCAAAAGGUGUUUACACAGGCUUUUAAGUGGCACCAUAAAUGCAGCUACACUGUUUUAAGUCUCACAUUUAGUUUUAGCUCUAUGUGUUCGAUAAACUAGAACGUAUCAGUUCAUAAGAGUCAUUUGAUUGGGAAUCAAGAUGGGGAGAGGAGGUGAAGGCCCUAGAUAAUAACUCAUUUAGGGGGGCAAGGUCCGCAAAUGCCCCUCCCUGGCACCAUACCUGCCAUUUAUUUACUGGUACUGUGGUUCUCAACCAGGGGUCCGGGGCCCACUGGGGGGGUUACAUCCAAGGGGGACUCAAUCUGACUUAAAAUGACUGAAAUAAGACAAAACAGCUAUUAAAAUAAGCUAAAACUACAAAUUAAAAAAAAUAUAUAUAUAUUUCUUAUUUUAAAGCUGCAGUCGGUAACUUCUGGGGCUCGCGUCUGGCGGAAGAACAUUGUAGCCGGAGCUACUUCUCUCUGUUUACAUCUAUAAUAGUCCAAAUAUAAACACUUAUUAUAGGUGUACCGUAGUGAUUCAGGAUAAGACAAAAACACGGUUUGGAAAAUGGAUUCAUGAUGUACUCUCUCAUUAUAUAUGUUUUUUACAUUUUCAACACAAAACAACACUGUGGCACAGCCCUG
rnacentral:lncRNA from 1 species